AUAGAUCAAGCUGAGCAGCUCUGGAAGUAAAAACAUGUUCUAGUGUUAUCUUCGUGUUGACGAUCUCAUGGCUUCAGUGUUUAAUCUGAGCAUGUGACGUGUGUUUUCAGCUUCCUGUCCUUGUAAAUUCUGUGUGUGUGUGUGUGUGUGUGUGUGUGUGUGUGUGUGUGUGUGUGUGUGUGUGUGUGUGUGUGUGUGUUUUAUUGUGUCUUUGGUAAGAACUCAAACAUACUCAGAGAUAAUGUGGCUUUACAUUGGCUGAUGCUUCGCUCUGAUUUAUUCCUGCUGGUGUGAAAUCGAAACAGAAUGCUUUAUGGGAAUGACUUCACUGCUCAUAAAUUCCGGCGCAGUUACGCAGCUCGAGUGUUUGGGGACUCGUCAGAGAUGCUUUUCUCUGGUUCUCUGUGGGUCUGUGUGUUUUGGUGUCCCUCGCUGCGGUCCGAGGGCCGUGUGGGAGCCGUAAAGCCCUGCGCACCUGCUCUGAGUCUGCACUGAUCCUGGAUCAGCUUCCAUGGACGCGUUUCCUACAGAAUCCUGUUUUUGCCCCCGUGACACGACAUGACUGUUUUGGAACAUUGUAUCCGGAGCUGGACCUGAAGAAAACUCUGCAGGAAAACCUGAUGCAUAAGACCAUCGUGGAAUACCCAGAAGUCUUUGUGGUUCUGCGACAGCACAGUCAGGAGUACCUCACUCACAGACCGUGUACAAAACACACACACAAUCACAGCAAACCCUUUCCAGACGGCUCUGAACCUCACAGAAAUGUGUCCCGCUCACAUUUCAUCCACAAGCUAAAGGAGGAAAAAAGAAUUAAACAUUUUAAUUCAUUCAGUGUUAGAUGUCAUUAAUGAUAAAUGACAUUGCAUAACAUUUUUAGAUUCUUUAAUAUUUUUUGAGGAAUAAUUUAUGACCAUUUGUACUAACAUUUUUAUUUUCAAUAAUACUUUAUUUUUAAAAAAAAAUGGUAGCAAUCACGGAAUUGUAUUUAUGUAUUAAUUUAUUUAAAAAAGAUAAUAGACAUAUUAAAAAUAAUAUAUUACCAAUUAUAAAAUUAUGCGUAAUUAAC
ensembl:lncRNA